rnacentral:rRNA from 1 species
GACGAACCGUCCAAACGUUAUUCGGAAUCACUGGGCUUACAGAGUUCGUAGGCGGUCUGGAAAGUUGGGUGUGAAAUCCCUCGGCUCAACCGAGGAACUGCGCUCAAAACUGCCAGACUCGAGGGAGAUAGAGGAAAGCGGAACUGAUGGUGGAGCGGUGAAAUGCGUUGAUAUCAUCAGGAACACCGGUGGCGAAGGCGGCUUUCUGGGUCUUACCUGACGCUGAGGAACGAAAGCUAGGGAGCGAACGGG